GACAGAGGGUGCAAACGUUGUUCGGAAUUACUGGGCGUAAAGCGUGUGUAGGCGGUCUACUAAGUCGGGUGUGAAAGCCCUGGGCUCAACCCAGGAAGUGCACUCGAAACUGGCAGGCUAGAGUACUGGAGAGGUUGGUGGAAUUCUCGGUGUAGAGGUGAAAUUCGUAGAUAUCGAGAGGAACACCGGUGGCGAAGGCGGCCAACUGGACAGAUACUGACGCUGAGGCGCGAAAGCCAGGGGAGCAAACGGG
rnacentral:rRNA from 1 species